CAAGAGGUCACACCCUACCUUCACCCGAUGAUCCUGAGAGGUCGAUGAUCACGUACACCUUUCCUUCUGGCUCCAGAUCAAUCUACAAGUAGAGCCAUGUUUGCCUGGAGCUCUUUGGAGGAUGUUACACACACCCUGGCCCCAGCAAGGAGUUCCAGAGAGAAAACCAGCUGUUGGCUCUUUGGAGCAGCAUUAAACCAGAAGUCUGUCUCGGACAAAGUUCAAAAUGAUCAGGAGCCCUUUUGCACCCCCGAAGCAUGGAAUUCAAACAAUGUAUGCCUUUUGGAGAUUAGAUCAUCACUGUUAACCCCAAACAAAAUGAAACACUUUUUCAUAUCC